GUGGGCAGACUAGCCCUUCCUGGCUAACCACUGUCCGGAUGACAUCAGCAGAACCUCGGGAGUCGAGAUGCUUCCUGUGUAUGGGGAAAGUAGGUUUGGUUGUAGCACCUGAGCUCAGCGUCCGACCUAUUCAGGGCUGUCACUGGGAAAAGCAGCUAGGGAAACUUGGGUGUAGCUCGACGUUUGCAAGCGAAAUUCCCCCCCCCCCCCAAAAAAAAAAAAACGCAAAUUCCCACAGAUCCAUCCUUUCUUUGGGCGUCAAAGGGUUCUGGAGCUUUCUCUAACAAGGUUAUAGAACUGUGCAAGUUCAUCUCCCCUCCCCCUCAAACAAAUACAUACAUACACAAUUACACAAACUGGUCAGGCUUAAGAAGGGGCUGAGUUUGCGUCUCUUCCUUAAAUUUCUGCGUAGGUACAAUAUCACAGAAUCUGAGAGCUCCAAGUGAACUUGUUAUCUUGUCAAAUCCCAAUCACCAAAUAGGUAUAGCGACCACACAGCUGCCAGCGCUGGAACCUGGGUAUCCCACCUCCCAAUCCAUUGCUCUUUACAACCCUAACCUACUUCCCUCGUACAAGAUUAAAGGACAAGACACAAGGAUCAGACUCCUGGCUUCUGGGGGCAGAACUCCCGACAGGCUCAGGGAACACCGGAUGGAAGUUUCAACCACUAGACUGGGCAUAGCCACUCCCCUUUUACCACAACCACCCACCACACAUACACACCUACCUGAAUGCAGGGAAAGCAGGUACGGAGAGAAUCGUUCUGGCUUUGCCUGGGGUUUCUGCCAGACAGGGAAGAAAAGUGUCCUUUCUUAAACCUCUCCAAAGACCAAGCCAAGACAGCCUCCGGUCUCCGAAAGUCCUAGAUGUUUUGUUUAUUUUUUGUGGGGAGAAAGGGGAAAGUGGAGGAGGAAGGGCUGUUCAACUCACCAGUACAUCCAGAGAUCUAUAAUUCUUCCCUUUUCUUCUCCACUGCCCCAGGCUUGACAGGGACACAACGGAAGAUGGGGAAGGGGGUUAGGGGAGGCGAGAGAGGUCUCCCUUUUGCUUCAGAAUCGUUGAGCUAUCAAGCCCCUAAAGUUACGGGGGAAGUUACCUUCCCCUCCCAUUCUCUCUACCGGAGCAUCUGGUUUCCAACUUCUACCUUCAAAAGGAACUGACAACCGCCAGCAGUCCUACGCGGUCCUGAAAACCCUCGGCACCUGAGGGCGAUCAGGCUGGUUUUUAGGCCUUUCCCCGUGUCGAUCGCUUUAGGAAAAAGCAGAAGCCGUUUCCUGGGCUAAAGAAGGGGUCAUCUCUCUCGCAGAGUUCAGAUCCACGGCAGGUGCUGAGUUCAGAACCUCCCAUUCACAAAGGGACUUAACCAUGGCAAAAGGAGAGGGGGGGAGAUCAAGGGAGGCUAAGCUGAACUCGAGAAGCCAAGUCCCAGGAAGAAAGGUUGGGGGAGGAGAGAAGGGAGAGAUGGGGGCGGAGGGGGAAGGGCUUCCCGCACCCGGGAGAAAGCUGUGAGCUAAGGGGAUGCGAGUUAUCCUCCGCACACGCGGAGGGGAGGGGAGAGGGAGCGGGUUCGCGUGGUAAAGAGCUUGGAAGUGAAGAGGUGAUCCUGGUUAAAGGCAGAGGGGGAAGGGAGGUGAAUCCCCAACCCCCGGAGAUCUCAGGGUGGUAGUGGGAAAAGUGUGUAUGUGUGCGUGCGCGAGUGCGUGCCUGGGGGUGGGGGAAGAAGAGUCCUGGGCUAAGCGCUGGGAAUAGACUCCCGAGAGUGGAGGGGAGACCCCGGGAGCCGAUCUCCCGGGAGUGGAGAGUAGAUUCUAGAUUUCCGGCGGGUCCGAGGAGAUCCCGGAGCGGGGAAUCCCCAAGUUAACCAAGGGGCGCCCCAACCUUUGGGUAUGGGGCUUGCGAUAGGUCAGGGAGGAUGAGGGGGAAGG